UACGUAGGCAGCAAGCGUUGUUCGGAGUUACUGGGCGUAAAGGGUGUGUAGGCGGUUCUUUAAGUUUGGUGUGAAAUCUCCCGGCUCAACCGGGAGGGUGCGCCGAAUACUGAGGGACUCGAGUGCGGGAGAGGAAAGUGGAAUUCCUGGUGUAGCGGUGAAAUGCGUAGAUAUCAGGAGGAACACCGGUGGUGUAGACGGCUUUCUGGACCGUAACUGACGCUGAGACACGAAAGCGUGGGUAGUAAACAGG
rnacentral:rRNA from 1 species